rnacentral:rRNA from 1 species
AGUGGCGCACGGGUGAGUAAUGCAUAAGAACAUGCCCUUAGAUGGGGAAUAACGUUUGGAAACGAACGCUAAUACCGCAUAAUCUCGGAAGAGUAAAGGUGGCGCCGCAAGGGCUACCGUCUAAGGAUUGGCUUAUGUCCCAUUAGCUAGUUGGCGGGGUAAUGGUCCACCAAGGCAACGAUGGGUAUGUGGUCUGAGAGGAUGAUCACACACACUGGAACUGAGACACGGUCCAGACUCCUACGGGAGGCAGCAGUAGGGAAUAUUGCACAAUGGGGGAAACCCUGAUGCAGCAACGCCGCGUGAGUGAAGAAGGCCCUUGGGUUGUAAAGCUCUUUAGCGAGGGAAGAGGGUUGUUACGGUGAAUAAUCGUGGCAGCUGACGGUACCUCGAGAAUAAGCACCGGCUAAUUUCGUGCCAGCAGCCGCGGUAAUACGAAAGGUGCAAGCGUUACUCGGAAUCACUGGGCGUAAAGCGCACGUAGGCGGACUUACAGGUCAAUUGUGAAAUACCUGGGCUCAACCCAGGAACUGCAGUUGAAACCGUUUGUCUUGAAUAUCUGAGAGGGUGGGGGAAUACCUGGUGGAGAAGUGAAAUUCGUAGAGAUCAGGUGGAACACCGGAGGCGAAGGCGCCUGCCUGGCAGUAUAUUGACGCUGAGGUGCGAAAGUGCGGGGAGCAAACAGGAUUAGAUACCCUGUAGUCCGCACCGU